rnacentral:lncRNA from 1 species
GGACAAUCACAGGCUCCUGAACUAACGGAAAGGCAACUGGCUAAUUUUCAAUUGAUGUGUCAUUUACAGAAGUACACUAGACCUGGAAAAGUCAUUUCCACGCCACUGGAAAAUGAACAACCUAAGGAUGACAUCCUUGAGGCAGAAGAAGCCAGUUCUGUGUUGAAUGAGACAGUCAAGGCAAAUCCCGCGUCACAGGAGGAUUCUAGAAUAACUUUGGAUGAAACUACUAAAGACUCUCAAAUAACCAGGCAGCAUUGAAUUCCCUCCCACUGACGGAUAAAACUAAUUGGUUUUGCAAUGGUGGGGAACACCAUGUGGGCCUCUCUUGCAAUCUGUCUUGGUUACAGAACUUCAUGGUGGAGGAGUAUAACACUCCUGAACAAGAGGUUUCCGCCAUGAUAGAUUCCUUCUGUCAGGAAUUUGAAAGGUUAAGAAGUAAGCUCAACUCCAAGGAACAGAACCUCUUAAGAAGGAAGAUACUAAUGUGACGGAACAAGCUACUUGGCCUCUCAAUACUCGCAACUUUCCAAGCAGCUCUACCUAUCUCUUUAUAAGGAAUUUUAUGGUGGAGGAAUAUGGCAUGCCUGAACAAGACGUUUUGCCAAUGAUAAAUUCCUUCUAUCAGGAAAUUGAAACGCUGAGGAGGAAAUUCAACUCCAAGGAACAGGAGCCUCUUGAGAAGGAAGGUACCAAUGAGAAAUCUAACGCAGAGGCAGCAACGAUGGCGGAAACUCCUGGGAGUUCUUCGACGGCGACCUCAACCGAUGACCUUCAAGAAGUUUCAGAAAUAACAAAACAGCCGACAACAAGUGGGUCUGAGGUUAAAUGUGAUGCUCAGGAUUUCAAAUGUGGGGAUGAUCACUCUAAUCCUUCACCUCCAAUGGGUGAGAGCUCUAACACUGCACCUAGAAUUGUACGCAAGCCAUGGUUAAACAUCGCAAGAAGAUAUAAUGGUCCCAAGCCUUUCAUCUUCGGUAGAAUGUCGAGGGAACAAGAGCAGAAUGGAUUGAAUCCCGUUUCCCCCUUGACCCCGCCCAGACGGCUCAUGCACGCGGAGAAAAUCCAGGAACUUGAAGCGGAAAUUGCUGGUCUCCAGUCAUACAUUCAGGAAUUGGAGUCAACAAAGCAACCCACCUCAGCCGAGAGGGGCGAUCAUUUGGACGACAUCGUCCUCGUUCUGUCCGACGAACUGGCGAAAGUCGAGCUCGAAAAUAAAAAACUGAAGGAAACCGUGGAUCGAUUCGUUGCAGGUAGCACAGAAAGACUUGGGACCCAUAGCACGGAACAACGUGGGACUUCUGUUGCAGAUAGCAUCGUCACGAAUCGCGAAUCGCUGGUGAAUAAAGCCACACAGAGUGAGGAAGAGGGGGUUCCUGAGACCUUCAAGCACUUGGCCCAAAAUCACAUCGGGAACUUCAACCUAGGAUGGCGGAAUCGGAGCUUGAUCGGGUGUUUGAAUGACGUGAGGACACCGCUCCACGCCGUUUUAAGUCAACCGGUCGUACCGGGCACUCGUUUCGAAUUUCAAGUAAAAACGCUUCCGCGCUGCAAGAAUUUCACCAUCAAGCUGGCGUAUGACCAGUCCCGAUUUCCGCUCCAGGCCACCAUUAGCUCGGACAUGAUCGACCUCUCUUGUCAAGGAAGUUCGUUGUACGGGGAGAAGCAUGUUCUGCCUCAAGACCUGCAACCUGACACCGACUACGUUCUCAUUUUCGUCGUUAAUUCUGACAGCAUCGAAAUCACGAUUCAGUCGCACGGUGGUGCGACUCGGUAUUGGAAUGAGUACAGACCCGCUGUUCCCGUGACUGAGAUACAGUACGUUCAUGUCGAUGGCGACGUGGUCGUGAGUGAUGCGAUGGUGAAGGAGGCAGACAAUGCGUGUUGUCUGGAAAUGCAAGAAAGGCUACGGCGCGCCUUCGUCGAGUACGUUAAGUUGUCGUAUCGCUGUUCAGUUCUCAAAAGCAAAUUGGCAAGUGCCCAGAAGAAAGACUUGUAGUCUGGUUCCGAAGACUGAAAAGCCUCUCGUCCUUUAGACCUUAGUGAUAAGAUAAACGGGACCACAUUUUGCAAUUUGGAACUACAAUUUAUGGUAUGGACUAGAAACAAUGCAAGAACUAUUAUGUUUUUACGGAUGAGCUCGAAAGUGUAGCUCCUAACUGCAAAAUGUUGUCCAAUUUUCUGAGGAAUUUUGAAGCUAUGACUGCCUCGCUGUGUAAGAAAGCUGUUGGUGGUUUUUAAACUUUGGAGAAUAAAAAUGAGAGUGCUCUUCGUGAGUUGCAAUGCAUUUCUUGGAAGAGUUGUGAGUUGGUUCGCAUCUGUGUGAUCAUUAACAAUUCAGUUUCUCUAUCGUUUGUAUCUUCCGCUUGGAACAUAAGUUUUGUUGAGCUUAUUGGGGACCUCUUAGAUCCACUUCCGAAAGAGUAAUUUGUGCAUUCCAAAUCACGCAUUUUCAAAUGUCCUCUAGCCGCAGAGACAUUUUUCUCACCUGCUGGCACCAAGACCUACUCAGAAAUAGAUGUAAGAAAACCUAGCCAAAAUAAACUUUUGUCAAAAGAGCUGUUCUCAUGUGUUGCAUUUAGAAAACUGCUAUUGAUCAUCCUUAUGCACGAUUUCAUUUCCUUUAAAGCAUUUGCUCUUGCUUUUCCUUUGCACAAAGAUGAAACAAACGUUUUGAGAGAACUAAACUUAUGCGUGAGAAACAUUGCCAAUAGCUGAAAUAGUAUUUAUCUCCUCGGAUUUAGGACCUAAGUUAGGUUCCAUUCCUUCACAUACCCCUUUUUCACUGACAGUUCUCUUCUGCAGCACAGCAAGCCAGUUUGUAAAGUGGAAGUCAUCGUAGUUAUCACUACCCUGCAAGAAAAAGUAUCAAGUGAAUUUCCUAUUUGAAGCAGUCUUAAGUUAUGCCCCUCAGUUUCACAAUGAUAAUUUUGUAAAAAUGUUAACUUGAUACAUGAUGACUUGUUAGCUUGAUAACGAAUUGAAUGAUUUUUUCGACUGAUUAGUUUUAUUUUUCGAACAUUUCUCACCAGCGCAGCGGGCCGAUUAUUGAAAUUAAUAGACAAAGCUGUAGACAAGAAGACAAAAGGGGUAUGGAGAAAUCCUAUUGGUGGAAGCAGAUGGUUGGAAUGGACAAAGAAGGUAGGUAAUAGACUAACUAACGGCAUCCCAUGGGAGAACCUAUUGUCAACCUAAAAUUUCUCCCCUAGUCCAGAGGCUUCGUUCAGAAAAGCACCCGUUUCAGCCAAUAAGAUCGCUCCAUACUCCCAUAGAGCACAUUGAAUCGUAAUGUAAGUGGGAGAGCUGGCGCCACUUUUAAACAUUUUCCAGCUCCCGAAUUCCGAGACUCAUGUGUGCGGACGGGUCACUUUUUCGAUACAUGAUCGAUUGUUCUCGAUACACGGGUACCCGGUCAUCCGAUGUAAACAAAGAAGAUAGGAAUUACCACGUAUUCCGCGUCGCCAUUCAGGAUCGAACUUGUAUCGAAAAAGUGACUGAAGCUCGGCGCACACCAGGCUCGGAACUCGUCGAGCAGAACAUAGCGCCAGUUCUCUCAUUUACAUUACGACUCUAUGUACUCUAUGCAUACUCCUUAUGUCCUCUUUGUCUAUCAGUUUCAAUAAAAAGCCCACAGCAUAUGAGAACAUGCUGCGCUUGGAUUUGAGACGAUUAUGUUGAGUAAUCGCUUAGUUUUUUAAGUUUUACAUGCCUUUAUAUCUGCAGUUGCAGUUACCUCUCAUUCAGGUGAAUCGUAGGUCAAAAGUGCAGAACAGCAAGAUAUUAUUUCAAUAAUUUGAUUUGAGUUUUGUUCAGGCAAAAGUUACGUGUCUACAACAUCCGCAGACAGAUACAAUCCACUCAGCGAAGCAUUCUUGUAUGAAGUUUACCUUAAUAUCCCCAAAGCUGUAUUAAUAUCUUAAGGAAAAUUGCUUUAAUAUGGAAUCAACAUUACCUAUGAAGAGAGCAAUAAAGUCAUUGAAUUUUUACCAGUAUAAAAUGUGGAAAUGUGCGAAAGUAGUGUCCAGUGCUAUUUUUCCGCCAGGAUGUCAAUUUCUUUCGGUUUUAAUCGCCUCCAUCGCUUUUUUCUGAUCAAUAUUACUUACAACUAGUAGUAUUUAUGGUAAUGAUACUGUCCCAUUGUUGCCAUGUUUGUUUCACGUUGAUGUUCAUAUUUUCAGUUUUCUGCAAAAAUCCUGUUCUCUGACUUAUUAUCAACACUGUGACAAUGUUGCUUCUAUGUUAACAAACCAAUUAUUACCUGGCUAUUAUCCGCAGUAAUGCUGGCACUGACGAUAAACUGCACGCCUGAGAUACAGCUUUCUCUUCUAACUCUUUACAACUUCCUAUUUUUUGUGUCUAUAAAUCGUUUCUGUUUUUUUCAUGUUAAAUUAAGUAUUUUCUCGAAUAUAUCUUAAUAUUUGACAGUUACAAAAGCUUCUAUUUUAUAUAUCAGUCGGGCCAGUCCCGAACAUUCCUCUUUGCUCGUAAGAUAGCUUGUAUUAAAUGUGAUUUUAAGAAUCCAUUGUCUACAGAAAGUUUUGUUUUGUAUUAUUUGAAUAACCUCUGUGUCAGGCAUACAAGCACAUACACUAUACUACGCUCGUGUGUGUAGACUUCUUUUGCCAUUUAGGAACCACUGUUUAUGGCUCAUUUCAUACACAGCAUAAGUGCCAUAAGUUAAGUGCUUCUGUGGAUGGAAGUGGCGAUUUUUUAAGUUGGCAACACUGUUUUUCCUCCAUUAUAGUAUCAAUUCAGGUGAGGCAAGCUGCUUCUUCUGCUGAUUGUUUUAUAAUACAUCUUAUGGAGGAAAACUAUUGAUGCCAAUUGCAAUCGCCAAGAAUCGCCACCGGUGGAUGAGUCAGAAACAGUCAAAUUACCUCCCCUUCUUUCCGAUUAUUCUAUACCGAAGUUGCCAGAUAGUGCAAUUAGACAGCGAUAUUUUACAAUUCAGCACUAUCUGUCAACUAUGUUCCAUGCCUUCUCUAUUUGAACACUUGUUUCAUCCCUUACUAGCAAAAAAAUGACCUACACUUACAUUUCUUGUAUUUAUUUUGUGUAUUUUUUACCUUUAUCUUUUCCUAGAGUAAACCUGGUUCACAUUUAUCAACUUGCUGUGUAUCUCUUUUCCCACCACCUUUUUUCCUAAGUGCGAAGACUGUGUUGGUAAUAUUAAACGGGUCAGUUAACAUGCGCUUAGGAAAAGCGCCAUGUAAACAUUUUGACGUUGUGAAACUUCUUCCAGUAAAAUAGCAAUGUUCUUGUAAACUUAAUUUUUUUUUUCAAUUACACCGAAGUAUCAGAAGGUGCCCGACUGCAUUUCACAUUCCCUUACUUUCUCUCGUUUUAUUUUUCAGUACGUUUAUAAUGUACGUUCUUGGCAUGAUUUCACACGAGAAUCACGAGACAUCUUUAGCAGAAAGCCUCUUUAAAUAGAAAAACGUUAUGUUUAGGCUGGAAGAAAAAAAUAUUGAGGUUCUGCAGCAGAAUUCCCUGACUUCUCAGGGUUGCCAUCAAUUCCUGACUUUUCAUCCUGAACUGUGCAAUAAUUUCGUCCCUCCUGGAGCAAUUAAAUAAAAAUGUGACCAUUCACAGGAUCUUGCCUGUCAGAGUGUUCCACAAACAUCACGGAGAAAGAGCACCCGUAUGUAUUUUUACUCAAAGCUGUGCCAAUUGGAAGUUUUUAGUUUAAAAACUUUG